rnacentral:sRNA from 1 species
AUUUUUGAUUUAUUUUUAUUUGGAGUUUUUCAGUGAGAAACCACCGAUGGAGAUGGUCUUACUUGCUUACUUCGACAAAAAAAA